rnacentral:rRNA from 1 species
UCGAGGGGCAGCAUAUAGAUUGCUUGCAAUUUAUGAUGGCGACCGGCGCACGGGUGAGUAACGCGUAUCCAACCUACCCAUUACUAGGGAAUAACCCAGCGAAAGUUGGCCUAAUGCCCUAUGUAGUCGUUUGAUCGCCUGAGAUUUCGACGAAAGAUUUAUCGGUAUUGGAUGGGGAUGCGUCUGAUUAGCUUGUUGGCGGGGUAAAGGCCCACCAAGGCAACGAUCAGUAGGGGUUCUGAGAGGAAGGUCCCCCACAUUGGAACUGAGACACGGUCCAAACUCCUACGGGAGGCAGCAGUGAGGAAUAUUGGUCAAUGGGCGAGAGCCUGAACCAGCCAAGUAGCGUGCAGGAUGACGGCCCUAUGGGUUGUAAACUGCUUUUAUAUGGGAAUAAAGUGAGGGACGUGUCCCUUAUUGCAUGUACCAUACGAAUAAGGACCGGCUAAUUCCGUGCCAGCAGCCGCGGUAAUACGGAAGGUCCAGGCGUUAUCCGGAUUUAUUGGGUUUAAAGGGAGCGUAGGCUGUUUGUUAAGCGUGUUGUGAAAUGUAGGAGCUCAACUUUUAGAUUGCAGCGCGAACUGGCAGACUUGAGUGCGCACAACGUAGGCGGAAUUCAUGGUGUAGCGGUGAAAUGCUUAGAUAUCAUGACGAACUCCGAUUGCGAAGGCAGCUUACGGGAGCGCAACUGACGCUAA